rnacentral:pre_miRNA from 12 species
CCACUUGGUAGCUCAGGUACUUAGUGACUCUCAAUGCAUUUGACAUUUUGGGAGCCACUUUGUGCCUGGGCCAUCAGUGCGAC